rnacentral:misc_RNA from 1 species
UCCCAAGUUCAACGUUCGCUUGGGCGACAUUGCAGAGGCCAUGACCAACUUCAUCCAACCGGGAGGAGGGAGCUCCACAAAGAGUAUUUCAGUGACAAUUCCAUCGGAUGGGGAGCUCAUCAUCACUGUCCCUUCUAACGAACCCAAAUGCUCUGCGUCAAUCAAGCUGGAGCCUUCCACUGGCGCCACCGACUCGCGAGUCGAUGUCGCCGGCAGUCCCCUCGUCACGGAUAUCUCCUACUAUCUCCUGCCUGGGGUGACUCUGAAUGUUUUCGCAUGGACCACAAGCGUCAUCCGGAUAGAAGGCUCUGAGCAGUUACUGCGCGGUGUAAUUCGCUCGUCGACGAAGUCGAUUACGCGCCCCUUAGUGGAGUAUCAUUUUGUCUUACACACGCAGCGCAUCGCCGCUGAGAAGACACAAUGCGGCGGCCCGGUCACUCUGAUUUGCGGAGGGCAACUGACAGGCAAGACUGUGGUUGCACGUACACUAGCGAACUAUGCCGCGCGUGCCGGCUGGAAACCAAUCCUGGUUGACUUGGAUCCAGGAGUGCAGCAGACGAUUGGUUUGCCCGGGUCGAUCGGGGCUGCCAUAUUGGACUACCCGUUGCCUCUGGAUGAAGUCAUGGCGCUCUCCCUUGUGAGCACAACGUAUUUUGUGGGCACAACAGAGGUCGAGUCCUUCAGCAAACUGGGGGAGGCUCUCAUGGGGGCAGCAUACGUGCACUUCUCAAAGCUCCUGCUCACCUGUGUUCGCGAACGGUUGUCAACACACGCAAAUGACCUGCACGGCUUCAGCGGCGCAAUUAUUGCUGUACCGGAGGUGCAUGGUAGCUCCGGAAUAAAUUUUGUCAGCGAACUGAUACAGCAGUACGACGUUUCCAACGUACUUUGCCUCGGUGAUGAUGAUCUGUUUCACACCCUGUAUCUGCGGCACGAUCGUGGAAACGCAGCGCAGCCAGACUACGUGAAGAUAGACCGUAUUUCGCACAACUUCAGCACCGUUCCCCCAGCUAACGCUGAUUCAGUGAUGCCGUCGAGAUACAGCGACUACUUUCUCGGCACUGGUGUAGUGGACCUGCACCCAUCGCAGUGGUCAAAACCGUUUAACAGCAUCGACGUACUCAUUCUCAAAGAGGAGCAGGGGCAAGUGGUGCUUUCUCCAGUCCCUAAGGAGGAACUACAGGGCAUCGUUGGCUGCAUUGGUGCACUUUACUCGUCUAAGUCAGGCAAUGCACUUCAGUCGUCGCCGAUGGCCUACGCAAGAGUGCAGACAAUUGACCCAGCCGGCAUUUACUUUCUGACGAGCACCCAUUUUACUUUUCCGUCAGAAAAGCUUACUUUGCUUGUUGGGACUGUCCGUUGGAUUACCAGCACGUAAGAAGGAAAUGUAGUUGUCG